CUUAAAUAUUGCCAACUGUUUGAUUUCUUUCCUUUUUUGUUUUGUUUUGGAGCAAUCAGUAAACCCCACAGGAUCCCAUAUUAAAUGGAUAUAACAAGACAAAUGGAAGAGUGAGCGUUUUCCAAUAUGAAAUUAAUUUUAAACAAAUACUUUAGUUUGAUGUUGAUGUAAUUCUAAAUUAAAAACAUAUAUAGGACAAUUAACUCUUCAGCAUUUUCCUAAGGAUAUUUUUCAUCAUAUUUUUUUUCUCAGAUUUCUGGGAAAUAACUUUUUUUCAGUUAGCUUGUUUUCUUGUUUCUACAUGAAGAUUGCAUGAGGAAAGCAGACUUGCCAUGAUAGAUAACAUGGUUAUAGAGACUGUUUUCCUACAUCUUUGUAAAAUUCAAUCUCAACCAUGGUUGACUUUUGUAUAUGCAUAUCUUUGUUUUUAAUGUUAUUGUAAGCCUUAGUGAGCACUAAAUCAAAUUGAAGUCUUUACUAAUGAACUGUCAUUUAUUUAUACUAUGUGGGAGAUUACCAGCCUGUAUAUUUUUGAAUUCCAUUAAAUUUCAUUUCUUGUUUUAUA